GAUGAACGCUAGCUACAGGCUUAACACAUGCAAGUCGAGGGGAAACGAUAUUGGAAGCUUGCUUCCGAUAGGCGUCGACCGGCGCACGGGUGAGUAACGCGUAUCCAACCUGCCCAUCACUUGGGAAUAACCUUGCGAAAGUAAGACUAAUGCCCAAUGACAUUUAUAGAAGGCAUCUGAAAUGAAUUAAAGAUUUAUCGGUGAUGGAUGGGGAUGCGUCUGAUUAGCUUGUUGGCGGGGUAACGGCCCACCAAGGCAACGAUCAGUAGGGGUUCUGAGAGGAAGGUCCCCCACAUUGGAACUGAGACACGGUCCAAACUCCUACGGGAGGCAGCAGUGAGGAAUAUUGGUCAAUGGGCGAGAGCCUGAACCAGCCAAGUAGCGUGCAGGACGACGGCCCUAUGGGUUGUAAACUGCUUUUAUAAGGGAAUAAAGUGAGUCUCGUGAGACUUUUUGCAUGUACCUUAUGAAUAAGGACCGGCUAAUUCCGUG
rnacentral:rRNA from 1 species